AAAUUGAAGAGUUUGAUCAUGGCUCAGAUUAAACGCUGGCGGCAGGCCUAACACAUGCAAGUCGAACGGUAACAGGAAGCAGCUUGCUGCUUCGCUGACGAGUGGCGGACGGGUGAGUAAUGUCUGGGAAACUGCCUGAUGGAGGGGGAUAACUACUGGAAACGGUGGCUAAUACCGCAUAACGUCGCAAGACCAAAGAGGGGGACCUUCGGGCCUCUUGCCAUCAGAUGUGCCCAGAUGGGAUUAGCUUGUUGGUGAGGUAACGGCUCACCAAGGCGACGAUCCCUAGCUGGUCUGAGAGGAUGACCAGCCACACUGGAACUGAGACACGGUCCAGACUCCUACGGGAGGCAGCAGUGGGGAAUAUUGCACAAUGGGCGCAAGCCUGAUGCAGCCAUGCCGCGUGUAUGAAGAAGGCCUUCGGGUUGUAAAGUACUUUCAGCGGGGAGGAAGGUGUUGUGGUUAAUAACC
rnacentral:rRNA from 1 species